rnacentral:rRNA from 1 species
UACGUAGGGUGCGAGCGUUGUCCGGAAUUACUGGGCGUAAAGAGCUCGUAGGUGGUUUGUCGCGUUGUUCGUGAAAACUCACAACUCAAUUGUGGGCGUGCGGGCGAUACGGGGCAGACUGGAGUACUGCAGGGGGAGACUGGAAUUCCUGGUGUAGCGGUGGAAUGCGCAGAUAUCAGGAGGAACACCGGUGGCGAAGGCGGGUCUCUGGGCAG